CAUAAUUACAGUACAGUGUUUUGUUCAGAAGAAGUUAUUUCGCUUGAAAUGGAUGGCGGUUACUGGAACAUUGGUAAUAAUGGCUCAUUUAACUUUACCGGCGAUUUUGAAUACUGUGAAAUUCUUUUAGCGAAUAUCGUUCCAUGGAGUCUUACAGUUUACUUAUCUAUCAUCGUCAUUGCAACAAUAGCUAAUGUUCUACUCUUGUUUGCUAUCUAUAAAGAUCCUUUAAAAUGUUUACGCAAUCCAACUGCCUAUUUCAUCGCAAAUUUAAGCAUUGCUGAUUUGUUAAACUCGUUGUUCCACUUCGAAGAACUAUUGGUGUCACAGACUACGUACAAGAGUACUUUCUGUUUGCCGGGCGCUUGGGGAACAUUUCAUACAAUAUUUGGAGGUUUUGUUUAUUUUUUAACUUUCCCUUCGGUGACAGUCCUGGCUCUGGAGAGAUAUGUGUCUAUAGCUCACCCGUUAUGGCAUCAAGUCAAGGUUACAUCUCGGCUUUGUUGCACUUGGAUAGUUGUGUUAUGGUUAUUUAACUGCGUCUUCGCUGGAAUAACUGCAUACUUUUUCAAUGUAUUGAUACUAGUUGGAUAUCCCAGUGUAUGUUACUUAACUACAGUCCUUGUAUAUUUGUUGGCUUUUAUCUCAAUCCGUAAAAAGCAUUUAUCUCUCGAAACUGAUACUUCAAAAUCAGAAACUAUUAGACGGAUGAUUAAACUACGUUUAAGAAAUCAAAACCGUUUUCUAACUACAGUACUUAUAGUAAACAUUGUUCUUAUAUUCGGGAUAAUACCAACACUAAUUGGCUCGCAUUUGAAGGACGGGUUAGGAGAGGGAACGAUCUCUACAGGUAUUGCAGUAUUGUUUUAUACAGCGGAUAUUUUCUUUUUCAUAAACAUGGCAUCGAACCCAUUUUUGUAUCUUUGGAGGCUAGCAAAGUAUAGGAAAACCUUUUUUGUUAUGUAUUGUUGUAAAAAAUAGACAUUCGGGAA